rnacentral:rRNA from 1 species
AUUGAACGCUGGCGGCAUGCCUUACACAUGCAAGUCGAACGGCAGCACGGGUGCUUGCACCUGGUGGCGAGUGGCGAACGGGUGAGUAAUACGUCGGAACGUACCUUAUCGUGGGGGAUAACGCAGCGAAAGCUGUGCUAAUACCGCAUACGCCCUGAGGGGGAAAGCGGGGGAUCGAAAGACCUCGCGCGAUUAGAGCGGCCGAUGCCUGAUUAGCUUGUUGGUGGGGUAAAAGCCCACCAAGGCGACGAUCAGUAGCUGGUCUGAGAGGACGAUCAGCCACACUGGGACUGAGACACGGCCCAGACUCCUACGGGAGGCAGCAGUGGGGAAUUUUGGACAAGGGGGGCAACCCUGAUCCAGCAAUGCCGCGUGAGUGAAGAAGGCCUUCGGGUUGUAAAGCUCUUUUGUCAGGGAAGAAACACCGGCUCUAACACAGUCCGGGAAUGACGGUACCUGAAGAAUAAGCACCGGCUAACUACGUGCCAGCAGCCGCCGUAA